AGACGUCUACAUUAGAUACCCGCGUAGUCCAGGGUGUAAACGCUGCAGACUUGGUGUUGGAAGUCCUUUGGGGGCAUUCAGUGCCGGAGAGAAGUUGUUAAGUCUGCUACUUGGGAGUACGUCCGCAAGGAUGAAACUUAAAGGAAUUGGCGGGGGAGCACCGCAACGGGAGGAGCGUGCGGUUUAAUUGGAUUCAACACCGUAAACUCACCAGGGAAGACUGUUACAUGAAAGCCGAGAUGAAGACUCUGCUAGAUUUUCAG
rnacentral:rRNA from 1 species